rnacentral:rRNA from 1 species
CCUACGGGAGGCAGCAGUGGGGAAUAUUGGGCAAUGGACGCAACUCUGAUCCAGCAACGCCGCGUGAAUGAUGAAGGUCUUCGGAUUGUAAAGUUCUGUGAUGGGGGAUGAACACAAUGACGGUACCCCAAUAGACAGCCGCGGCUAACUACGUGCCAGGCGCCGCGGGAAUACGGAGGGGGCAAGCGUUCGGCGGAAUGAGUGGGCGUAAAGGGAGCGUAGGGGGUAUAGCAAGUUGGUUGUGAAAUUACCGGGCUGAACCUCGGCACUACUGCUGAAACUAUUAGACUAGAGUGCAGGAGAGGUAAGCGGAAUUCCUAGUGUAGCGGUGGAAUGCGUAGAUAUUAGGAGGAACAUCAGGGGCGAAGGCGACUUACUGGGCUGUAACUGACGCUGAGGCACGAAAGCGUGGGGAGCAAACAGGAUUAGAUACCCUAGUAGUC